rnacentral:rRNA from 1 species
GACGAACGCUGGCGGCGUGCCUAAUACAUGCAAGUAGAACGCUGAAGGAGGAGCUUGCUUCUCUGGAUGAGUUGCGAACGGGUGAGUAACGCGUAGGUAACCUGCCUGGUAGCGGGGGAUAACUAUUGGAAACGAUAGCUAAUACCGCAUAAUAGCAGUUGUUGCAUGACAACUGUUUGAAAGGUGCAAUUGCACCACUACCAGAUGGACCUGCGUUGUAUUAGCUAGUUGGUGGGGUAACGGCUCACCAAGGCGACGAUACAUAGCCGACCUGAGAGGGGGAGCGGCCAAACUGGGACUGGGACACGGCCCAGACUCCUACGGGAGGCAGCAGUAGGGAAUCUUCGGCAAUGGACGGAAGUCUGACCGAGCAACGCCGCGUGAGUGAAGAAGGUUUUCGGAUCGUAAAGCUCUGUUGUAAGAGAAGAACGAGUGUGAGAGUGGAAAGUUCACACUGUGACGGUAUCUUACCAGAAAGGGACGGCUAACUACGUG